GGAAGCGACCGGGUGGCGGCUCCUCAGCGAUGGGGAGAGGAAAGUCCGGACUUCAUAGGGCACGGCGCCUCGGGAAACCGAGGGACUCGGCCUAAGAACCGGGGACGGAAAGUGCAACAGAAACAAACCGUCUCGACUUGUCGGGAUAAGGGUGAAAUCGCGAGGUAAGAGCUCACGCCUUGGGCGGGCAACCGUUCAAGGGGGCAAACCCCGCCGGAAGCAAGGCCAAAUAGGGACGGGACGAAGCGGCCCGCUGACCGUCCGGGUAGGCCGCAUAGACAGAUCGCCGCACAAAAACAGAAUCCGGCUUAUAGGUCGUUUCCCCAC
rfam:Armatimonadetes bacterium OLB18 TZ18_ATM00100CONTIG000128, whole genome shotgun sequence.